UACGUAGGGUGCGAGCGUUGUCCGGAAUUAUUGGGCGUAAAGAGCUCGUAGGCGGUGUGUCGCGUCGGCCGUGAAAACCUGGGGCUCAACUCUGGGCGUGCGGUCGAUACGGGCAUCACUUGAGUUCGGCAGGGGAGACUGGAAUUCCUGGUGUAGCGGUGAAAUGCGUAGAUAUCAGGAGGAACACCAGUGGUGUAGACGGCGUUCUGGACGGUUACUGACGCUGAGAUACGAAAGCGUGGGGAGCAAACAGG
rnacentral:rRNA from 1 species